GACAGAGGUGCCGAGCGUUAGGCGGAAUCACUGGGCUUAAAGCGUGUGUAGGCGGGCGGGCAAGUACCUUGUGAAAUCCCACGGCUCAACCGUGGAACGGCUGGGUAUACUGCCUGUCUUGAGCCAACUAGGGGCGAGCGGAACAGACGGUGGAGCGGUGAAAUGCGUAGAUAUCGUCUGGAACGCCAAAGGUGAGAACAGCUCGCUGGGGUUGUGCUGACGCUGAGACACGAAAGCCAGGGGAGCGAACGGG
rnacentral:rRNA from 1 species